AGCGAACGCUGGCGGCAGGCUUAACACAUGCAAGUCGAGCGGGCACUUUCGGGUGUCAGCGGCGGACGGGUGAGUAACGCGUGGGAACGUGCCCUCUGGUUCGGAAUAACUCAGGGAAACUUGAGCUAAUACCGGAUACGCCCUUUUGGGGAAAGGCUUGCUGCCGGAGGAUCGGCCCGCGUCUGAUUAGCUAGUUGGUGAGGUAACGGCUCACCAAGGCGACGAUCAGUAGCUGGUCUGAGAGGAUGAUCAGCCACACUGGGACUGAGACACGGCCCAGACUCCUACGGGAGGCAGCAGUGGGGAAUAUUGGACAAUGGGCGCAAUCCUGAUCCAUCCAUGCCGCGUGAGUGAUGAAGGCCUUAGGGUUGUAAAGCUCUUUUAUCCGGGACGAUAAUGACGGUACCGGAGGAAUAAGCCCCGGCUAACUUCGUG
rnacentral:rRNA from 1 species